CCUACGGGGGGCUGCAGUAGGGAAUCUUCCGCAAUGGACGAAAGUCUGACGGAGCAACGCCGCGUGAGCGAAGAAGGUCUCCGGAUCGUAAAGCUCUGUUGUUAGGGAAGAACAAGUACGGGAGGAAAUGACCGUACCUUGACGGUACCUAACGAGGAAGCCACGGCUAACUACGUGCCAGCAGCCGCGGUAAUACGUAGGUGGCAAGCGUUGUCCGGAAUUAUUGGGCGUAAAGCGCGCGCAGGCGGUCUUUUAAGUCUGAUGUGAAAUCUUGCGGCUCAACCGCAAGCGGUCAUUGGAAACGGGGGGACUUGGGGGCAGAAAGGAAAGGGGGAAUUCACGGGGAGGGGUGGAAAGGGGAGAGGAUGUGGAGGAAAACAAGGGGGAAAGGCGGCUUUCUGGUCGGUAACUGCCGUGGAGGCGCGAAGGCUUGGGAGCAAACAGGAUUAGAUACCCAUGUAGUC
rnacentral:rRNA from 1 species